rnacentral:rRNA from 1 species
GACGAACGCUGGCGGCGUGCUUAACACAUGCAAGUCGAACGGAAAGGCCCUGCUUUUGUGGGGAGCUCGAGUGGCGAACGGGUGAGUAACACGUGAGUAACCUGCCCUUGACUUCGGGAUAACUUCAGGAAACUGGGGCUAAUACCGGAUAGGAGCUCCUGCUGCAAGGCGGGGGUGGGAAAGGUUCGGCGGUUGGGGAUGGACUCGCGGCUUAUCAGCUUGUUGGUGGGGUAGUGGCUUACCAAGGCUGUGACGGGUAGCCGGCCUGAGAGGGUGACCGGCCACAUUGGGACUGAGAUACUGCCCAGACUCCUACGGGAGGCAGCAGUGGGGAAUAUUGCACAAUGGGCGGAAGCCUGAUGCAGCAACGCCGCGUGCUGGAUGACGGCCUUCGGGUUGUAAACCGCUUUCGCCUGUGACGAAGCGUGAGUGACGGUAAUGGGUAAAGAAGCACCGGCUAACUACGUG